AUCCAGCUGGCGGACGAGUCCCAAAUAGGACGAAAUGCGCAUCCUGGAU
rfam:Trichobilharzia regenti genome assembly, scaffold: TRE_contig0029156